CCUACGGGUGGCAGCAGUGAGGAAUAUUGGUCAAUGGGAGAGAUCCUGAACCAGCCAAGCCGCGUGAGGGAAGAAGGUCCAACGUAUCGUAAACCUCUUUUGUCGGGGAACAAAGGCCGGGACGCGUCCCCGGCUGAGUGUACCUGAAGAAAAAGCAUCGGCUAACUCCGUGCCAGCAGCCGCGGUAAUACGGAGGAUGCGAGCGUUAUCCGGAUUUAUUGGGUUUAAAGGGUGCGCAGGCGGCCCGUUAAGUCAGCGGUAAAAGCCCGGGGCUCAACCCCGUCGAGCCGUUGAAACUGGCGGGCUGGAGUUGGAGAGAAGUACGCGGAAUGCGCGGUGUAGCGGUGAAAUGCUUAGAUAUCGCGCAGAACCCCGAUUGCGAAGGCAGCGUACCGGCUCCACACUGACGCUGAGGCACGAAAGCGUGGGUAUCGAACAGGAUUAGAUACCCCUGUAGUC
rnacentral:rRNA from 1 species